rnacentral:snRNA from 1 species
AGCUUUGCACAGUGACCAUAUCAUAGCCAAUUAGGUUUAUCUGAGGUGUGAUUAUUGCUAAUUGACAACUUUUCCCACCUCUCCACAACCCCCUGAAAUAUAGUCAGUACUGGCAAAGAAAAAUGUUUUCAAUAAACUUGACUAUAUUGUAAUGAACAACCCAAGUUA